AACUUUUGGCAAUGGAUGUCUUGGGUCCCACAACGAUGAAGAACGCAGCGAAAUGCGAUACGUAAUGUGAUCUGCAGGACCUCGUGAGUCAUCAAAACUUUGAACGCACAUUGCGCUUCUGGGUAUUCCCAGGAGCAUACUUAUCUGAGUGUCCCGAA
rnacentral:rRNA from 1 species